CCCUUAGAUGUUCUGGGCCGCACGCGCGCUACACUGAUGAACGCAACGAGACGACCUGUACCGAAAGGCAUGGGUAAACUUGUGAAAGUUCAUCGUGAUGGGGAUAGAUUAUUGCAAUUAUUAAUCUUCAACGAGGAAUUCCUAGUAAGCGCGAGUCAUCAGCUCGCGUUGAUUCCGUCCCUGCCCUUUGUACACACCGCCCGUCGCUCCUACCGAUUGAAUGGUCCGGUGAAAUCUUCGGAUUGCUGGAUAGGAGGGCAACCACCUAUCUGCGAGAAGUUGCUUGAACCUUAUCAUUUAGAGGAAGGAGAAGUCGUAACA
rnacentral:rRNA from 1 species